CUCAAGACAACGCGUGACUUUUUCAUACCUCUGAAUUCCCCAUCACAUUAUGCUACAGAGUGAAAUACAAUGGUGGAUGUAUUCAUUACCAGCUCCACAGUGCUCCUGAAGAAAAGACCGGAUCCUACCGGUACCGUGGGCUCUCCCUGGCACCGUUAGUGCCAUCUGAGGGGCAUCAGGACAGCAUGGCCAUCACUGUACAGCUGGCAUCUGCGUGGCACUGCCAGGCAGAGAGACAGGGGUAGCUACUAGCUAAUGUCCCCCAUGCCAUCCCUGUAGGCUCAACAGGAUCACUGCUUUCUACCCUUCC